UGGGGAAUAUUGCACAAUGGGCGCAAGCCUGAUGCAGCCAUGCCGCGUGUGUGAAGAAGGCCUUCGGGUUGUAAAGCACUUUCAGCGAGGAGGAAGGUGGUGAGCUUAAUACGCUCAUCAAUUGACGUUACUCGCAGAAGAAGCACCGGCUAACUCCGUGCCAGCAGCCGCGGUAAUACGGAGGGUGCAAGCGUUAAUCGGAAUUACUGGGCGUAAAGCGCACGCAGGCGGUUUGUUAAGUCAGAUGUGAAAUCCCCGGGCUCAACCUGGGAACUGCAUUUGAAACUGGCAAGCUAGAGUCUCGUAGAGGGGGGUAGAAUUCCAGGUGUAGCGGUGAAAUGCGUAGAGAUCUGGAGGAAUACCGGUGGCGAAGGCGGCCCCCCUGGACGAAGACUGACGCUCAGGUGCGAAAGCGUGGGGCAGCAAACAGGAUUAGAUACCCUGGUAGUCCAGCGCUGUAAACGAUGUCGAUUUGGAGGUUGUGCCCCUUGAGGCGUGGCUUCCGGAGCUAACGCGUUAAAUCGACCGCCUGGGGAGUACGGCCGCAAGGUU
rnacentral:rRNA from 1 species